CAUGUUGGCCAGGCUGGUCUUGAAACUCCUGACCUCAAGUGAUCUUCCUGCCUCGGCCUCCCAAAGUGCUGGGAUUACAGGUGUGAGCCACCACGUCUGGCCCUCUUGUCACACUCUCUUGAUUUAAGAUUGUUUCUCCUAAGGCAGAGGUUCUCUGAGACCCAUGAAAAGGUUUCAGGGAAAUCCAGGAACCCCCUGAAAAUCCGUACAAAAUUGUGUCAUUGUAUGUGCAGUUUUCUGGUGAGUAGACCCAGAGCUUUCAUCACAUUUCCAAAGGGUCUGUGCCCUUCACCCUCACCUGCCAAUAAGAUGAAGAAAUAAUACCAGUCCCUAAGGAGGCAGAUGGCUCACCCUCCCCCUUCCCUCAUGCAGCUGAAAAGGAACUAGAGCUGGACCUCAACUUCCAGCAACCUUAAGAACAGGCAUCAGAGGCCAAGAAUGAACUUGCUAUACAGUAAUCCCAGCACUUUGGGAGACCGAGGCGGGCAGAUCACCUGAGGUCAGGUGAUGGAGACCAUCCUGACCAACAUGGUGAAAUCCCGUCUCUACUAAAAAUACAAAAAUUAGCUAGGCAUGGUGGUGCACGCCUGUAAUCCCAGCUACUUGGGAGGCUGAGGCAGGAGAAUCACUUGAACCCAGGAAGCAGAGGUUGCAGUGAGCCGAGAUCGUGCCACUGCACUCCAG
rnacentral:lncRNA from 1 species